rnacentral:rRNA from 1 species
GACGAACACUGGCGGCGUGCUUAACACAUGCCAGUCGAACGGUGAAGCGCCUUCCUUUUUGGUGGGUGUGGAUGAGUGGCGAACGGGUGAGUAACACGUGAGUAACCUGCCCCCUUCUUCUGGAUAACCGCAUGAAAGUGUGGCUAAUACGGGAUAUUCUGGGUCUGUCGCAUGAUGGGUCUGGGAAAGAUAUUGUUUCGGUGGGGGAUGGGCUCGCGGCCUAUCAGCUUGUUGGUGGGGUGAUGGCCUACCAAGGCGGUGACGGGUAGCCGGCCUGAGAGGGUGGACGGUCACACUGGGACUGAGACACGGCCCAGACUCCUACGGGAGGCAGCAGUGGGGAAUAUUGCACAAUGGGCGCAAGCCUGAUGCAGCGACGCCGCGUGAGGGAUGGAGGCCUUCGGGUUGUGAACCUCUUUCGCCAGUGAAGCAGGCCUGCCCCGUUUGUGGGUGGGUUGACGGUAGCUGGAUAAGAAGCGCCGGCUAACUACGUG